rnacentral:rRNA from 1 species
UACGUAGGGUGCAAGCGUUAAUCGGAAUUACUGGGCGUAAAGCGUGCGCAGGCGGUUUUGUAAGUCUGUCGUGAAAUCCCCGGGCUCAACCUGGGAAUGGCGAUGGAGACUGCAAGGCUAGAAUCUGGCAGAGGGGGGUAGAAUUCCACGUGUAGCAGUGGAAUGCGUAGAGAUGUGGAGGAACACCGAUGGCGAAGGCAGCCCCCUGGGUCAAGAUUGACGCUCAUGCACGAAAGCGUGGGGAGCAAACAGG